CCCUUAGAUGUUCUGGGCUGCACGCGCGCCACACUGACAUGUCCAGCGAGCUCCCAACCUGCUCGGCAAAGAAUGGGUACCCUUUUUAACGCAUGUCGUGAUGGGGAUAGAUUAUUGCAAUUGUUGAUCUUGAACGAGGAAUUCCUAGUAAGUGCAAGUCAUUAGCUUGUGCUGAAUACGUCCCUGCCCUUUGUACACACCGCCCGUCGCUCCUACCGAUUGAGUGAGCCGAUGAAACUGCCGGAUGUGGACUAUUCAUAGUCUGCAGAAGAUAUUUGAAUCGUAGCGCUUAGAGGAAGGAGAAGUCGUAACA
rnacentral:rRNA from 1 species